ensembl:lncRNA
CCUCAGCCCCGACCUCUUCCACCCCCCCUCAGGCCCGACCUCUUCCUAUUCCUUAAUUAUUUAGCAAAUAGCCUUAUUAAAUUCUGUUUACCGCUGCUCCCACGUGUCCACUCCCAUUGUCUUUUGAUCCAUCAGUGUAUAUUUAUAGUAUGUAUUGUUUAUGUACUCCUGAGUUUGAUGGCAAAUAUCACACCCGUUCCCCCCGUUCUAUUAGUGUUAGAUCCACGGUGGAACAUUUCCCCACAUUACAUUGGGAACAUACUCAACCCCACUUAACCAGACCCCCUUGACUGCUGAGCCGAUGCUCCAUCCAAACUCCUUUAUUCUGGGUGUAGUCAGCAUCCAUUCAGCACGUCUUAUAAAUAUCCAGCAGGUUUAGCAAAAAGGUACAAUCAAUGCACGUUUCCAGCUGUUGGGCAGUUCACCGUCCCUCCAAAUCAUAGUUUGAGAAGCAUUUCCUUCCUCUGGUAGUUGCCGAAAAAUAGCAUAGCAUAAUUGGUGUUGCCCGGGCGCCGUAUUCCCACUUCCCUCUAUCGUGGUUUUCAGCUCCUGUACUGAGAAGUGACCUGCUGACGUGGACAAGUAAGAAACGGAAUGAACUCCUUACGGAAAGCAGGACGGACGCUUCUGAUUGGACAGACCGGCGUUCAUUAAGGCUGUUCAGUGUUCCGCACUCUGCUCUUCUUCUGGGACACUAGAAAGCAUGAAUCACAACACAAACAUCUUCUGCUGACUCGCACACAUCACACAACGUGAGCCUUGGCUGCCAUGUGAAUGAAGAUCAGCAGAACAGAACCAAAGUGAGAGCAUUACUUUUAUUGUUGAUAUACUGAGCUACAAUAAAAAAAAAUCCAAACAAACAUCGUUAAAGGUAUUGAUGAUCCAUAAGGUGCAGACCGCAAACCCCUGCAGCCCGGUACAGUAUGAGUGAGCCCCCCAGUCUAUCGCUCCACCCACUGUGCUGGUGGUCUGCGGCUGCCCCCCCCACUCCAUCCCAACAGCACCGCCAGGGACGUCUUCUCCACCCAACACAUCAAAUCAGCCCAAACGCUGCUGGGGAGGGGCGCUGUUUGGGUGGGUUUCCGUUCCCUUAAAGCCCGGACACAACCAGACCCACUUCCAAAACAUGGGCAGAACCGCUCUGGACCUGGAAUCAGAGGAUCGGCAUCGGCAGUGGACGUCGAGUCAAAUUGUAAGGAACUAAUAUUAAAAUCGCUAAGUGACUUAUUAAAGCUAAAGCGGCCACUGCAUCGCCCUGAGGAGACGGUCCAACAUCACACUCCUGUCCUCCGUCCUCUCACGUAGCUGCCAUGUAGUACUUGGCCUCGGCUUCACUGCAAUACAUUUAUCAGACAGCUGCUUCUCAGACCCUUUGAGUGGGGCCACGGCUGUGACUCACCAUGCACCCACAGCAGGACAGGAGGGGGGUUGUUGUUGAUGAUGGAUCCUGAUGGAUUCUGACUGACUCCCCCCCACACACACACUUUAGCCCCAAACUGCUCGAUUCUCACAUGAUAACCAACUGGCAGGUUUGGGGCUCUCAGGGGACUCGUCCCCCCCCAUCGUAUGUGCACUUCUGUUCUCUGCCCCUCCUCACACGGGGGGCAUGAGGUCACGUAUGGCGCCCAAGUGCAAUCAUCCAUUGUGCUACAUGUACAAAAAGAAUUCAUUAAAGAGCCAGUAGGAGAACGCAUGGUCGGCUGGACUCCAGACCCCCCCUCGACCCCCCCGCCCCUUUACCUAAAACAUACUCAACAUGAUGUCAUGAUAUCUCCCUCAGACAGAGUGUGUGGGGCACCGCGUGAGUCCACGUCCUGGUCUAGUCCCCCCCCCCCCCACAGACUUAAUAUGAUACAAGUCCUAAUUAAUGUACUGAGCCUAAAUGUGUGUGUGUGACCCCCCCCCCCUUCUCUGAAGAGGCCGGUCACCUUCCCUCCGUGGUGGGAGGGGCCACAUGCUGCGGGAAUACUUGCCUCAAACCGUGUGGGACGUACGUCCCUCUGUGGGACAGAGUGUCGUUUGCUUUGAGGACAUGAGACAGACAGCUGUGUGCGGGGGGCAGAGAGACGUCCGUAUCGGUCUCCUGUUGUGAGGUAGAAGCACCUGCUGGUGGGCUGAUCAGACUGGGGGGACAAAGGUCUCUUUGGACCCUCAUGAGGACACUCGGUAGUCGAGCGCUGGUUCCGUGGCGCUCUGCAUCAGUCAACCCUCUGUUGUUUGUACCCUGAAUUCACAAACACAUUCUCAACUGAUCAAAUGAAUAGCUGGUGAACGAGGAAGACCCCCCCCGCCCCCCCACUGUCGACAUCGAGCACGGGGAGGAAGGAGGACACGAGGCUGCAGCCGGCCGGCCAACGGCCAACCAAAUCAAACUGAUCCAAAACAAAAACAAGAGGUCAAAUAAAGAGGUAUUAUAGUUACAGUGCAAAAAAAGAUGAGAAAUUCAAGCUUAAUACAAAAACAUAGCACCAAACAAAAAGAAUAUAUAUAUAGAGACGAGGAAAUGCAUGCAAUUAACUGAGGUAUUCAAGUGAAAAGGGCUCAUGGAUGAAGGGGAAAGGACAUUUAGCCAGAAGCAGAAUGAGUCCAAACACACGGCGGCUCGUAGUGUCACAGCGGCAUGAGGACACAAGACACAAUCUGAGCCUUAACACCAGUGUCCAGAGUAGAAAAGUCUGUAGCACGCGGAAUGCGUCCUCCGAUCAGCGAGACAUUUAGUGCACGAGAACGAGUCCAAACCGCCGACGCCACUCGCACGGACCUUCAGAGGAGCAUGAACUACUUUAAAUUACAGUCAGUGGGAAUGUUGGUAUUCCGUUUAGCAGUAAGGGGCCGAGCAGAUCACUCACCUCUUGUGUUUCAUAUAUAUAUAUUUAUAGACUUUGCUACGAAUAGGAUUUUGCUGUCAACACAUUGUCAAAGUAACAGACCCUAAUGGAAUAAGUGCAAACAUGAUGAAGAAUACCGUUUCCUGACAGAAGGGCGCGUUGUUUCCUUCUUCCUACUCCUCUGACUGAACUAUGUACAGUCGCCCUCCACACAAUAAGCAGGGGCCUCCUCGCAUUGAACGGAGGAGGAGGAGGAGACAUGGUGACCUGACACUUGGCAGAACGUUGAUAAAGCACUGGUGUGAUUACACGAAGCCGAGAGGGAAAGCAGAGAUUGUGUUUGCGCAAAACAAGAAAACAAAACAAUGAAAUAAGAUGUGAGAUCAGUUCUGAGGAUGCGUCACAGCCUCUUCUCCUCCCUUCCGCCGGCGUCAGUAGCUUCGGUGCUGAUGCUGAGGGCUCAGUUGGUUUGGACCUGAGGUUGAUUGGCUUUGAGGCUGCGCAGCGCCCGUCGCGCCGCCGCCGACUUGGCGAUCCGGUAGCUGCGGCCGACUCCUUUGAACUUGCCCUUCCCGACGACCUCCACCGUCACCCGGACCUUCCCGUCAUACGUCCUCUCUGCGGGGCUGACCGGGGGGACACGGGGGCGGUUAGUACCUCGCGCAUCUCAUGUUGCUGACAGAAUGCUGAGCACAUGCAGGACUAUUAUUGACGGUGGUCCUUUUCUCUCAACCCAAGUGGUUCUGUGCUCAUCUACUUUCCGUCCUCCUUUAUUCCACAUUCCGUGUGUCGACGGGAGGAGGAGCCUACCUGAACUUGGCGGUUUCCGGCUCCAUCUCCAGCAGCUCCCUCACAGGAGAGCGGGGCACGUUGGCAGAGAAUUUCUCUGGAGGUGGAGAGGGAAUGAGGGGGGGGGGGUCACCACAAACACCAUCACCACUGGCUCAAUGAGGAAUGCAAACAAACGCCCCGCUCACCUAUGAGGGGCAUCAUCAUCGGAUAAUACACCUGCCACACCGUCUCCAGGGACAUGCUGCUGUCCAUGUAAAUAGCGCCGGCCAGCGACUCAAAAAUGUCCCCCAUGGCCUUAGGGACCUCGAUGUCCUCCUCCUUCUCCUCGUCUUCUUCGGAGCGACGCAGCUUGUUGCCCAAACACACAGAUGGGAUUUCGUUAAUCGGCAUGAUGGAACGCAUGAUGACUCCCUGUUGUGACGCUCAGGUUUUGUUUGUUUGUUUGUUUGUUGGUAGAAAUGCCUCUAGUUCUCCUGACUAGACACUCGCUCUCGAGGACUUCCACCAGAUCACAUGCACAUGCACAUCAUGUGCACAGCACUGAGAAAACGUCCCUGAUGCCUGCAGCUGUCCUGCAGAUAAAGAUGCGAGUGUUGCCCCUAACUGCCCUGAUGGGGGCGUGGCCAUUCAAGACCCAACCGCUGCACAGGUGUGAAUGAUUGACUCAGCAAGCAGAGCCGUGGAUUGGCACCUAUUUACAAACGGCAAAAGCCGGGUGCUGAGAUUAAACCUGUUGGAACAUUAAACAAAGGCGGCAGCUGCAUUGUUGUUUUGUGGAUACGGGACUCACCUCGGAGUCCAUGCCUUGCAUCUCAUUCUUCUCCAGCUGAAACUGCACAAAGUCGUCGAUGACGUGGAAAAGCUCCGGCGAGAUGGCCUUGAAGUACUUGUGGUAGUCGUACUUGACGGCCAGAGAAGCAAAGAUGGUGUUGUUGACGAGUGCUGAGCGCAGGUCGGUCAGCACGCCGGGAGAGUGCUGCCGCGGGUCUUCAUAAAGGUGCUUUGUUAUGAGGUAGUCUAGAAUUGCAUCGCCAAGGAACUCCAGCCGCUGGUAACAAUCUGAAGAGAAACAACAGGAAGCGUCGUACACGUGGCCGCCGUAUUCAACAUUCACGCUCUAAUGGAUCAAAUGCCUUAAACCCUCAGACGAUCAUCACAAACUGCUGCUGAGUAAAAACAGCCACACAAAGACCUCCAGGUCUGUGACUCCAGUGAAAGAGCUGCUGUGACUGGGUGAAGUCACCACAGCGUUAGAUGUUGGAAUCCUUCAUGUAGGUCUGACUGUUUUAUGAAUGAAGGCUAAAACAUCGGAGUUUGAUGUAUGACGUCAUUAUAUAUGUGUAUGUCGAUAUUAUCCAGAGUUCGUUGGUCAUCUUCAACAACGUGACACUUUGGAUGAAAAGACGGACGGACGGAUGGACCAAUGGAACGGUGGACAAAUGUGUGUGUGCUUGUUAAGUGGAUCAAGGGGCGGACGGGGUGAUGGAGGACCAUGUCAUAUUUAAAGUGAAUAAUCGUCUGACCUGUGAUGGUGUUGUAAUGGUAGGAAGCGUGGGUGAAGGCUUGCAGCAGGUACGCCUUGUUCUGAAAGGUGUAGUUGAUCUUCCUUUCGAAGUUUUCGAAGCCGGAGAUGAGGUGGUUGAGGGUUCGCUCUGCGUCUGGGUGGUCCAGCAGGGAGCGGGGCGGGAUCUUCAGCCAGCCGUAGCUCAGGUCCCGGGUGGAGGUCUGACCGCUCUGCACCAGCGCUCCGGUCGGGGUCCCGCUCUCCAACGGCAACACCUGAUGUAAAACCACAGUGAAUAGCAGGGGACAGCUGGGAAAAGGGGAGUCGUAGGAAAGGCUCCCGUGGACUUGGCAGCUGGCACCGUGCUGACCUUGAGGCCCAGCGAGCAGAGGAACAUCUGGGCGGCUCGCUCCCCACAGCUGGUCAGGUAACAGCCCAGCAGAGCCUCCACGCAGUCGGCAAUGCUCUUGUCGGCGAUGCACUGCUCCGUGUGCAAGUCGUAAGAGAUGGACUGCUUGCCCAGCUCCGCGCCGCAGUUCUCCUCGGACGGGUUCCAGAAGCCCACCACGAAGUCGUCCUCCUCGCCCGCCUUACUGGGGUCCAGGUAGCACAUGCGCGUCCCAGGAGCUGUAGUCAAACUCCUCCGCGCUGGGCGCCGGCUCCGAGGCGUAGUGGGCCGCCGCCGGCUGGUGGCGCUUCCUUGGCGCCUUCCACUCGUAGGGGGGUUCCGUGGCGGUGGAGGAGCCCGACGCCGGGGCGGGAGGGGGAGGGAAGCCGCUCAGCGAGAUCUUCUUACCGAACGCGCCGGAUCCCAGCAGCAUGUUGUCGAUGAACUUGAUGUGCUCCUUGUAGUACUCCAAGUCGUCCUCCAUGUUGACUUCGUCCUUUGGCUCCUCCUUCAGCAUCAGCUCACCGUCCUCGUCCAGCUCCUCAGCGUCUUCCUCCUCAAUGUCGGAGUCGUUCUCAGGCUGCCCGUUCGCCGCAGGCUCCUCCGGGGCCUGGAUGAUGAACGCAGAGAGACACGUGGACCCCUUUAAUUCAGAAGGGUUCAUACGUAGAAUUGACUCUAGGGCUACGGGUUCAAACGGUAUACCGGGUUACGACUUUACCCAUAUGUGUUACGCCAUAACUACUGACGUGUGUAGAGAUUGAGUCAUGGUAAUAACUCUAUAACAACAAUGAAUAAGCCACAACAAACACGCUGGUUUAAAUCCUACUUAUCGGAUCGAUCCCAGUUUGUGCUUGUAAACGGUGAAUCCUCAAAGACCACCAAUGUUGGUCACGGAGUCCCACAAGGUUCUGUACUUGGACCGAUUUUAUUUACCCUCUAUAUGCUUCCUUUGGGCAAUUUUAUCAGGAAACACCGCAUAAACUUCCAUUGUUAUGCAGACGAUACUCAACUGUAUCUGUCGAUCAAGCCAGA